AGGAGCAUAUACGAAGAAAAUUGAGGAGUUCUUAUUCUUCAACCAUGGAUUCAGGCCAAAUAUUUUUCCAUGCUUCUUUGUUGGACAAUUCAGUCUCCUUGAAGAUUGGAUCCUGGAUUUUGAAUAGCUUUGCCAGAUUUUUAUCCCUUCUUGAGAGGAUGGCAUGCCUUAAAGUAGGUGAUGGCAGUAAACUGAUAUUUGGACAGAUUCUUAGCUUCCUCAUAUACAUUGCCAUUGUAUCCCAUUGGUUGUGGCUAGGUAACCGAAUUUAUCUUUAGUGAAUUGGUUGUUGAUUGAAAUUGCAAUCUUGAUCAUAUAGCAUUUCCCCUAGAUAAAUAUUAUACUAUUGUCAAAAUCACCCUCCCUCUUAAUUAUUUUCACAAUCAAUGGACUUGUAAUGGUAAUAAAUCUGGUGUUUUAACUAUCAAAUCUGUAUCUUUUUUCCUUCUGAAACAGCCAAGGGUUUUAUAUUUACAUGAUUCUAGAUUGGCUGCUAGUUCUUUGUGGAAACUCUGUAUUAUGAUUUACAGGACGUCCUCCUCCGUCGAUGACAUAGAGGUAGAGAACCAAGAAUGGACAAAGAAGAGGGUCGGAGAUUGACUUUGGUGGAACUUUCUGAUGCCUAAGGCAGAGUGUUGAGCAACAUAUGAGAGUUCACUUGAAUAGGAUAUAGAGAAGAAGAAAAAUAACCUUCAGGUUGGAUCCUUUUACUUGGAUAUCCUUACUAUUUAUAGAGGAUUAUAAAUGUUCUUUCCACGUUGGAGAUGGCUGAAUGACUUUCUUCACUCGUGUGUGUGUUCA